UGCUUCACUAAUUUUCCCUUUUUGUCCUUCGGGGUGACUUCUUACCAGGGAUGUUAUUCUUGACCCCCCGGGGCAAACAGAGGUGUUCACCUGGUCAGCGUCAGGAGCCAUCCUAACUGAGGCCCUGGUGGGCUCCCUCUUUCCCUUCGGUCGCCGUGGAUGUGCCGGACGCCUCUGGCAGGACUAACCCUGUGGCUUUUAUGUCCAGCGUGCCGUGCUGUGUUUGCCUCUGAGGACAGAGAGCCUGUGGGCUGAGGUGAGAUUGCUGUUAGUGUUGGGAUGAGCAUUCCAGGGAACGGGGAGCUUGGAAUUCCAGGUGCUGAUGGAACCAUCGCCUUAGGUGUGUUUAGUUUGUGUUGGUGGGAGCUGGGAUUCAGGCUGGAGAGCUGUUGCUGGAAACAAAGGGUGGAGAAAACCUGUUCCACAGAUGUGUAAGGAAGGAUGGAGUAGCAGUGAAGGAGAGUAUUUCUAUACAGUAUCAAUAUUCUCCAUGUGAGAUGGAGCAGCGAUGGGGGUGGUUGGGUUUGGCCUGGGCCGGUCAGGAUCUGCCAUAAACAACCCACCAGACCCUGAACCCUCACUGGACAUGUCCAGCCCCUCAGCAGAAACCCAAGUUGUUCAUUUGUUACAGAG